GAGGAUUGACGGUAGAUGUUAGCUCAGGGCUAAUCUUCCUCAAAAAAAAAAAAUACCAGCAUAUUCCAGUUCAUGUACGUUCCCUGGAAUCAAAUCAGAGAAGGAUUUCUCUCCCCUCAGACACUGGUGUUUCAGAAUCUCUGACAAGAACCUUCCUGGAUUAAGAAGAUUAUAAUUCAGACAUGACUCGCUGUUGGAAAGUCUGAAGGUGAUUUAUUCCCUUUGUGGAAGGAUUUUCCAGAGAGUUCCUCAUGAAAAAAGCUGCCUCCAAAGCUUUCAAAAGAGAAUUUGAUUGAUAUUCAAAAAGCCAUGUGGCCCACAAACAUUGUGGCUCGUGGGUACCCAGCACGGUGCUAUCCCCUGGAGUCAGCACAGCAAAGCUCUGCUCCCCAGGAGUGGCCACACCAGCAUGGGCUUCAGUGAACCAACAAGCUGACAGGUCAUUUUAGCUGGUGAUAAAAAGAAUAAAAUAAGAUAAUGUGGUGGAGAGGACCUGAGGUGGGGUGGGGUUCCAAGGAGCUGACGGUGAGUGGAGCUCAAAAUAAUGGGAAGGCCGCAGCCUUGUGAAGGUCUGGCAGGAGAAUGUUCUGCGUGGAAGAAACAAAAGGGAGGAGGUUUGGCAUGUCCGAGGGGCACAAGGAAGUGGGGAGCCUGGGGCAUCAUAAACAGUCAUGCAGAGGGGGUGGAGUGGAGCUAUCGUGAGUCCUGUAGCCGUGGUAACAGGUUGGAUUUUUACUCUAAGUGUAAAACCCACCGGAGGGUUUUGAGCGAGAAGUGGUGAGCACUGGUUUACAGUCCAUCCCAGCUGUACUGCUGUGCAGAAGGGGACCCUGGAGGAGAGGUCGGUACACAAUAUUGCUGCCGGAUGUGGACUAAACCGAUGCUAACCAAUUUCUUUGAUGCUUUGGAUAAAAGAGAGAGUGGGCCCCCACAGUGUGACAGUGUCUCUGGUGGGCAAGGCCAGGAGGCGUGCUGGGGGGAAAGGGAAGGAGCCAGGAAACUGACUGGAGGGCCGGUCCCUGAAUGGGCAUAACCCACAGUGCAAAGCUUAGCACCCCAUGGGGAGGGGACCACUGAGACCUCUGAGUCGAAAGAAGUUAAUCAGACAGCAUCUGCCAGACUCUUGCCCUUUGUGUAUGUUGUCCCAGUGAAUCCUGACAAACACCUGAGACAGGUGUAUGUGUCAGUUAUCUAUUGCUGUGUGACAAAUUACCCCCAAAUUUACUGGAUUAAAACAACAAACAUUUCUUAUCUCACAGUUUCCAUGGGUCAGGACUUCGGGAGCAGCUUGCCUAGGUGGUUCUCGUUCAGGCUGUCUCAUGAAUUUGUGGCCGAGAGGUUGGCUGGGGCUGGAAGAUCCAGUUCGAAGAUGGCGCCCUCACAUGGCUCUUGGCUGGAGGCUCAGUUCUUCACCAGUGGGCCUCUCUUCAUGACAUGGCAGCUGGUUUCCCCUAGAGCGAGAGAUCCAGGAGCAAGAGAGGGCACAGGCAGGAAGCCACAGUGCCCUUUAUGACCCGGUCUCCGAGGGCACAUGCCAUCGCUGCUGCUUUAUCCUAUUAGCUGGAAGUGAGUCACUAAGUCUGGCCCACAGUUAAGGAGAGGGAAACCAGGCCCCACCUCUUGAAGGGAGGAGCAUCCAAGAAUUUGCAGACGUAUUUUAAAACCACCCCAGUGGGCAGCAGCAUUCCCAUCCCAGGCCGAGAGUCUUUGAUGAACUUGCCCCACGUCACACAGCAGGGCAGUGGCAGGAGCAAGAUUAGAACCCAGGUCUCCGGAGCCUGAAAGCUGCCUCAGAUGCCCUGCUGCUGAGAGAGGUGGUCGCCGCGUGGCCAGUAGGCGCACUACUGGGUCUACAGGCCUCACUGCGACCUUGGGAGGACGGCCAUGUCUGAGCGCGCUCAAGAAGUCAGCUGCCACUGCAUGGCCAGCCCUGGUGUGCUCCCCCUGGGCCCGGUGGCUGCUCUGACAGCCAGAGCAGUGCGUGUGCCCUGUUUUUUACGUCAAUCAGCCCCAUUAUUUGUAUUUGCGGCACACACACCCUCUCUCUCCCUAGCUAUCUGGGUACCACACAUGAGUCUCCGGGUACCAGGCCACUCCACAAAGCCCCCUGUCACAGAGUCAGCUCGCUGGGCCUGGCUCCUCCCUUCCUCAAGUGAGUUAUUUUCCAGAAGUUCCCAGGCCUCUGCGGCUAGCUUCCCGUAGGGCCAACCCCUCAGCUCAAGCUUAUGUUUCCAAAAAUGAGCGAGUCCAGCCAGGGGCCCAGCCUGGGGCCAAGACUAGGAUCUCCCUACUUGGGCGGGGGAGUUUGCAGCAGAGUCCCCGCCGGGCUUCAGACACAAACACGAGUCCAGAUGCUACCUAGCAGCGUGCUGCCUGGGUCAGGGCUGGCUCAAGGCCUGGAAGGCCAACCCACUGCGUGGAUCUCCAGCGCUCGGCAGAGUGGGGCUGCGAAGAGGGGACCAGAGGCGGCCUCUGUCUUCCUUUCCCUGCCCUCCGUCCAGCGCCAGGAGGUGCUGGUGGAGUCUCCCAGAGCCGAAGGCGAUUGCGGUGGAGGCAUGCGAUAGAACUUGUCUGAUCACUCCCAGCUAUGCAAUUAAAGGCAGAUUCACGCUGUGGGGGAAUCCGCGUCCAUCCGUGAAGAGCUGCCUCUCUGCUCCACGGAAUCAAGUGCCCUGACUUCAGGUCAGCUGAGCCUCUCCUUGAUUGAGUUUGCAAGCUCUGCGAUCCAUUUGUACACCAGGAAUAAUAAUAGCAUCUGCUUCCCAGUCCUGUUGAGAUUAGACAAGAUAAUGUGUGGAAGGCACGUGGCUGUCUUGGUACACAGUAAGCCCUCCGUGGGCAUCAGCAGUCCAAAUUGAUCGUCACCAUUCAGAAGAAUGGCCCUAUUUCGUACGCUUGGUGUCACGGUGCUGGCCACAGAAACGUUUUGAUGGAGCCUGCUCUGGAAUCGUUUCUACACUCCAAGGAGCAUGUCACCAUCUAAGCAGGUGAAGUCUGUUGUUCCCCAUGGGAGAUCGUGUAUGUCAUGGUUUACCUGUGGACUAGUUGGGGGUCAGGGGGAACAGAGGUACCCAUCAAAGUUCAUGGCUAGACACAUGCCAGAACAUGUGGAGGGAACAGAGAGAGUGGCAAGAGGAACCGAAGGACGUAAAGAGAAAGAAGAGGCCACUAGGUAGCAGGAGAGUGUGACUGAGGACGUGGAAGUUCUGGAUGCUGGUCCUGGCUCCCCUUCCUACAGAGAAGUCAAACCUCCAGUGCGUCUAACUCCCCGAGGGGAAGGAAACAGGGCUCUGCUCUCACCUGAUCCCUGCAGCAACCCAGCCCGCCAGCCUGCAUUUGGGGUGCCGAGGCUUACCGUGUAACGUAACAGAGCGAGACGUCUGCAUUCCCUGCUCAUCUGCAUUUGCCACCAAGCAUUUACUAUUUAUCUCAGAGAUGAAGCUGUCAGACAGUCCACACAUCUGUGCGUGGAUGUAUGAACGCACAAAGCCACUUAUGCUGCAUUUUAAGAGCUUCUGUGUGUCAUGAGUCAUGUGCCCCAAACAUGAUUGUAUCCCUUAUUUAGAACCUGCAGUAGACAGGACUCGGUGCUUUCAGCUGGGGCUGGCCUUAGGCGAGUCACUAAACACCCAUCCUCAAACAUCAAUCAUCCAAGUGAGUAAAACCAUAAACGUGCAGCGAGGUGAUGAUCAGCCGCCCCUCACGGAUUCCCAGCCCCACUUGGGCACCCUGCAGCACCCUAUGGCCACCCACCCCAAGACAUGAAGACAGUCACAUCCCUGCUCCCACGGAGUCCCCCUGUGCCAUCCAGAGGCCAGUGGCCCACCAGGAGGGAAAGAGCCCACACAGAGCUCCCACUGUGUGCCAGGCACUGAGCUAAUUUCUCUGCACCAUCGUGACGACCACCAUUCAGUGAGCUUCGCUCUGCUCCCCUGAUACUCCCAAUGUCCUAUCGAGAGGAAAUGGAGGCUCUGGGAACCCAACUUGCCCAAAGCUGCCCUGCUAGAGGGUGUCAAAGCCUGCAGAUGAACCGCCCAGCCCUGCCCGAGUCCAAAGCUCAGCUUCUUGCUGCUGACCCCCGCUCGCCCCGGCUCCAUCCCCUCAUCCGGACCUCAUGACAACCCUGGGAGGAGAUGGCAAGAAUGGCCUUAGCUGACAGGCAGGGAGAUGCAGGUUCCGGGCUGGGACUCAGACUCAUUCACGGGUCUUCCAGGGCGCCCCCGAUACCAUUGGACAUCACAGAGGGGAGAGAGGGGCUGUGGGGAGAUGAGGGAGAGCACCAUGCCACUGACCUCACAUCCUCAGCAUUUGUAAGAACAAAGGUUUUCUGGGGAGCCACUCAUUACUAGACGCCCGCGCCCCACGUGCCAGAUCACAUCUCACUCUCAACAGUCAUCCCUUGUCCUCUCUGAAGGGGUUUGUCCCCCUCAGUUACCGCCUUUAGAGAUCCCAGUAUUUCACCUCCAGUGGCCUUCAUCCCGGGACACAUCGUUUGGCUUCCCUGCAGGGAAUAGUGUCAAGAGGCCACUGGUGGUGCCUCCCAUCUUGGCUCCGUGUUGCCUUCCGAGCAUCCUGGGCUCCCCGAAGCAGAGCAGAACAGCCAGAAUCCAAAUACUGGCCCCAAUGAGGCCCCAUUCUAAGAUAGCAAAAUACGAUGGACAAAAAAGACCACCGCAAGAGGUGUGCCGAACAGUUCCUUCAAAUAGCGCAUUCCCCACGUCAUGAAAAAUGGUAGGACUUACCAGUGAAGCCUGGUGCCACCUGGCACAGUCUCCCAGCUGGAAAUCUCAGGGCCGCAUUACUGGGAGGGGUCCCUGAGACUAGCUUGGGCCCCACGAAAGCAUUCUGAGCUUUAACCGUGACAGCUUGUCUGAAAAACAGUUCUUCCUUACCCUCGACGGGAAGUUUCAAGAGAAGUCCAAACUGUCACGCCUCCUCUCUCUCAUCGGACCACUAUUGACCUCCCCAGCUCACCUGGGCUGAGUGGUAGCCACAGAUGGGAAACGCUUUCCCAGAGGCUGCAGUUUCGGGGGCUGGCGUGGGGAUGGGGUCUGUGCCUCCCUCACAUGCUCUGUGCUGCUCUGAGCACCACCUUUACAGGGCAGGGCCAGUGGGGCUAUUCAUGCUGGCUUCCCUUCGGAGGGGCCCUGGAGGCCCAGAGACAAAUGCAGCAGAGAUGUCUGCCCUCCCAGGAGCUCACAGUGUGCUCUGACUGUUGCCAUAGAAAGGGAAGCCUGGGCUGCUGCAGUGGGUUCAAUUGUGGCCCCCAAAGGUAUGUCCACCCGGAAUCUCAGAAUGUGACCUUAUUUGGAAUAGGGAUCUCUGCAGAUGUAAUUAAGGUAAAGAUCUCAAGAUGAGAUCAUCCUGGAUUAUCAGGGUGGGCCCUACAUCUGAUGACGAGUGUCCUUAUAAGAAAGGAGGGGGAGAUUUGAGACACACAGGGAGAUGGCCAUGUGAAGAUGGAGGUAGGGCUUGGAGUGCUGCGGCCACAAGCAAGGGAUGCCUGCAGCCACCAGGAGCUGGAAGAAAUAAGGAGGGAUCCUCCCCUAGAGCCUCUGGAGGGAGCGUGGCCCUCAACACUUUGAUUUCAGACUUCUGGCCCCUAGACCUGUGAGAGAGUAAAUUUCUGUUGCUUUAAGCCACUGGUUUGUAGUAAUUUGUCACAGCAGCCCCAGGACACUAAUGCAAGUGCUGUUGUGAGAGGCUGGGCUCCCUGGGAAGCCAGCUCUGAGAUGGAGGUGAGCGAGGGGGACGUUGAUGAGGGGUGCUCUUGUGGGGAAGGUAAGGAAGCAGGACUGGGCAGACGGAGAAGUGGGGCUGCAGUGUCAGGAUGGCUCUUCAGAGUGGGGUCGGGGUGAGCAGCUGAGCCUUCUACCCCUGCAUCCAUCACUUGGCCGCAGACCCCAGGAAGAGGACAUGACCUUGGAUGAGACAAAUCUCCUCUGUCAAGGGCAAUUCCAAGAGCAUCCCCAGCAGUUGGGGGCCUAGAUCCUUCAGCCCUGAAGGGGGAUGGGGGUGGCAUAUCCCUGCAGCCCUGAUCGCUUUUAGGCCAACAAGAGACAGAGGGCUCCCCCACUUCAAGGGACCGCCCUGAUCCAACAUGCGAUCUUGAACCUAGCAUCACCUUGUACCUGUCCCAGCCCAGAGGGACAUGCCCUACUGUCAGCAUGAGGCUCUGGGAUCAGCUGGAUCAUGGGUGUCCCCUGCCAGGGGGGUUAUAGUGACAGGGGCCUCAGCACAAAUUCCUGCUCUCUAUCCCCGAUCCCUCCCCGCGGUCGACCGUGGAGGUGUUUGGUCAACUGACAGCAGUAUGUCUAAUUACAUAUACUUGCCACGGAUGCCUGAUGACAUGUUACCCAGUGAGGAUUAUGCAUGGCACCAAAUGUGUGUCCAGAAACUCUUGUCGCAAAUGUGCUUGCUCACAGCUCAACUCUCCUACACGUUCGGUCCCUAUUGUGUGUUGUAUGGUGAUCUGCUCUCAACAUCAGAUGAGAGAAAGCACUGCCCCCUAGGCUUCUGCCAAUGGCUCCAUGGGACCUGCUCUUCAGUGGUGGCUGAAAGAGCUCAGCCUCAUCCUGGCACCUUCCUCAACCCACUGCAGGCCUAUAGAUUUCCAGGUGACUCUUUUGGCCUGUGUUUAAUACUGAUGACAUUCUUCAGUAGGUUUGAAUCCUUAACUGACAAUGGUUCCUUUGGUCAUUGAGUUUUUCUCAUGAAUUUUUAAAAACGUAAUUUUCUAAAAUUAUGCAAGUGAUACAUGAAUUUGUGUUUAGUCUUGUUUUCCCUCUAUUUUUGACCCAGGCGCAGAGGAUUAAGUGACUCAGACUCCUCAGUUCAUGGUUCCAUCUCAGCACUGGUCUGUGCAAGGCCUCUCUUUAAUUCCGUAAAGACAGAGCUGGCGUGCGGCCUGUGGGCAGAUCGCAGUGCCUCCCACCUCUGAAGCUACGGUUUCUACUUUCUCCACAACAGAAACCCAGAUGUGGGCAGUGGCCAAGAUGGCGGCAUUGGUCCAGCGGGCAGCCAUGACACAGCUUCUGGGGCAGAGGCCAAGCAUGGAGGCCUGUUGCUAGGAAACAGAAAUUCCCAGGCCACCUUUCACAUCCAGAGACCCUGACUUGCCCAAGUCUCUGACUUCAGUUACUCUAGCCUGUGGAAGCGGCAGGAGACAAGUAUAUAGAAUGCUGAGCUGGGCCUUCAGGGUCUGUGUUGCCAGAAAACCCCCAAAUCUGGCAAAGGAAAGUAAACAAUUAUUCAUACUCUGUGAUCUCUUUGAUGCCAAUAAGAAGUGGUCUGUUGAAAAUGUGCAGGAUCCAGAAGGGAUAUUCUCCCCAUUACCCAACUCAGAGGUUUCCACAAUGGACCACACGACCUGGGGUCUGAGAGAACAAAGCUGGUGGUAGAUCCUUGCAGAGGGCAGAACAGGCUGGUGAGGGCAGACCAACAGACUAGGGCACUUGCUCCUCUGUCAGGGCAAGAAUUUCUUGCCAUUCUGGACGUCAGAAUGUAUAUGCCAUGGACUGAUGACCACUUUUUUCCAAUCUCUCCUCUCCAAGUCAGAGUUAUUUUGGAUGGUGUUAGAAUACUCUAUUCAAGUGCUGGGGUUGGUCAAAUUCAUCGUUCAGCCAUAGGUGGCCAGACCAUGAGGACCCAUGUCCCAGACCUAGCAGAAAGGACAGCACAUCUCCCAGAGCGGGAUACUGUGACUCGAUAAACCUUGAGUUGUCUUCGCUGGGGGAGAGAGUAAAGGCAUUUUAUGUGUAUAGGCAAAUGCAUCUUCGUAGCUGUAGUGAGAAAAGAGGGUGCGUAAGGAGAGGGCGUGUGUGGCUAUUGGGCAUCCAAGAAGAGAUAGAUGAUAGCAGUGUCAUCCGACUUGGACCCCUUUACUCAUCUCUGGUCACUGUUCUUUGAUUUUCCUUUCCAGAUUCACCCUCCCCCAGCCUCAGCUCAGACGAGGCUGAGUAAGUAAAUCAGGAUGAAGCCCAUCCAGGAAAGUGAGUUCAGCUGCCAGUGUUGGAGCCACUGCUUCUGUCUUGCCACCACAUGAGACCUGAGACCAAAGCCAACACAAGGAGGGCCAGGCUGAAGGACAGAGAGAAGCCAAGUUUUGAUUGUAUCAUUUGAAAUCCUGAAGCCUGGGGUAUCUAAAGCCAGACCUACUCAUGGAUCAGGCCUGGCUACAUCAUUUGUGGGGCCCAUUGUUCCAAAAGCAGGGGCAAAGUGCCAUUAAAUGUACUCAAAUAUGAAA